UGCGCAUCUAAUGUGUCAUACAGACCGACAGACAACAGCAUACAAACUUUUUAGCUAUGUGCAAUCUGUGGCUUCUGCGUAAAACACUUCGUUAUGCUGUCGCCACUUCUCAACAGUCUUCUAACCAUACAAACCCUCUGUACCACAUUUAUUGGUGCAACAACUAUUAGAGCAACAAAAGGUCAUCCUGUCUAUCUCCCCUGUCCCACAAACAUUCAACCUGAUGAGGUGGUCCUUUUUAAAUGGACACAGUUUGGAGUUCCUGGAAUUUCUUGCGAAUAUACAAUUAAUAAAAACUACACUGAAAACCAAAAAUGUAAACCAGAAUUCAACAUCAGGGGACAACCUCCCAGACUGUAUGUUGAAAACCCAGGGAGUAGCGAUUCUGGUCUUUACAUUUGUUUCACAACAAGAAUAAUCCCACCACCCACCAUCGAGUUAAAUUACACAGUUGAUCUUCAAGUUACUGGCCCUCCAAAUAUAGUCCUAAAGAAGCAGAAGAGAAAUACUACCUGCGUUGAACUGCUUUGUAGUACAGAGUACCUUGACCCUGGGGAGGUCAAAUUUACAUGGAACCGAACACGUCAGGGAUUACCAGAGACACUGUUGACCACAAAAAGCCUCUUCUAUAUGAACAGCUCUCUGCCACUGUGUCAAUCCGACUGGAGAGAGGGCGACAUAUUCACCUGCAUUGUCAACCGCUUAGUCAAUGACACCAACCUGAGCGAGGAAAUCAGAAUAGACUGCAGUGAAAUAGAAACCUGCCGUUGGAACCCCACUCCUUUGGUCAUCAUCUGUGUGAGCUCACUCAUUGGGGUUGCAGCCGUCAUAGCAGUAACCCUAACUAUUUAUAAAUGUUGCCAGAGGAAGAAGGACCAAGGGGAUUCUGUCUCAUACAAUAACAAGGUGUACGAAAACUUCAGUUUCAGCACAAGAAUACGUGGUGAACAGAAGCCAUCUGGUUCUAUGACGGACCAAUGCAUUUAUGAGAACUGACUGACCAACUUUAAUAGUUUAUUAAUAAUUUACUUUUUUCAAUGCAGAUAUGAAAAAAGUAUAUAUUUUAUAUGGUAUAUAUUUGUAUUUAUAUUUUUGUAUGGUAUAUCUUCGUGUUUCCAUAAAAGGAAUCUGUGAGAGGGUAAUUAAGUUUAAAUGCUAAUAUCCGAGCUGAAGUGUCUUGUUUAUGAAAAUUGGAAACAUUUUACAGGGAUUUUACAUGUGUCAGUAAAUAAUUAUUACAGAGCUUCUAAACCACGGUCAAACAUAUAAUUCAUUUGAAAAAUCCUGUUUCUGUACUGUGUUCAGAAUCCAAUAUAUUUUAACAGUAUUGUUUAGAGUGACAGUAUUAAAAUCUGUCCCUCGAUGGACGUUCCACUCCAAUUGUCCAUUGCAACCCCUUAAUAAAGGACUUCUGAUCUACCACAUCAUUAAUUGUACCCACCUGGUGUCCCAGCGCUAAAUAUCUCCCUGCUUAGGGGUUUACAAUUAAUUAAUGAGUGGAAUUUCAAUACCAAUUAAUUGGCUUAGAGUAUUUCUUCUUAAUAAUGGGGUUGAAGUUUAAAUAAUGUAUUCUUACAUACAAUUAUUCCAAGAUAUGACACCAUGUCUUUAAUUGGGAUUCCAUACUGUAGGCCCUAGCUUUGUAUUAACUCUUUCGCCUCCACAUCCCAAGUGGCAGAAGACAAACCGUUUAAACCCUUACUUGUUUCUUGGGAUUGAAUAUCUUUCUCAUACAUGUCUGCAUGUCUGUAGUAGUUUCAAAUUUAACACAUAAUACUAUAUAGUUGUUAUAUCUGGAUAUCUUACUUCUGGACUGGUCUGUGAAUUGGUCAAUUAUUUAUUUGGAAUAUCCUUCUCUUGUUUCUAUUUCAUUCCUAGAGAUAUGGGGCAUGGCCAGUUGGUCAUAAUAUUAACCUCCCUCUCUCUGUUCAUGUCCAGAAAAAGGCUUGGUUAAUGUUUGUAAUAUGUAAUUUAAGUUGUAUGCAUCCAUAGUAAAUAUAUUUUCCAUGAUUUCAUUGUCAUUGUCAUUCUUGGUAUGAUUAAUAUGGCAUGCAGAACUUUGGGUGACAGUGAUUCAUUAACACCGUAUAUUACUGCAUACUUUAUUUGUUGAAUUUACUAUAAUGUCUUUG
ensembl:lncRNA